rnacentral:SRP_RNA from 1 species
GCCGGGCGUGGUGGCGGGCGCCUGUAGUCCCAGCUACUCGGAGGCUGAGGCAGGAGAAUGGCGUGAACCCGGGAGGUGGAGCUUGCAGUGAGCCGAGAUUGUGCCACUGCACUCCAGCCUGGGUGACAGAGCGAGACUCUGUCUCAA